GGCGGCGUGGAUAAGACAUGCAAGUCGAACGCGACUUAUCUGGUUAGCAAUAACUAGGUAAGUUGAGUGGCGAAAGGGUGCGUAACACGUGGGAAUUUACCAAAAAGUGGGGAAUAGCUCGACGAAAGUCGAAUUAAUACCGCAUGUGAUCGAAAGAUCAAAGCCGGGGACCGCAAGGCCUGGCGCUUUUUGAGAAGCCCGCGGCCCAUCAGCUAGUUGGCGGGGUAACGGCCCACCAAGGCUAUGACGGGUAGCUGGUCUGAGAGGACGACCAGCCACACUGGAACUGAGACACGGUCCAGACACCUACGGGUGGCAGCAGUCGAGAAUUUUUCACAAUGGACGAAAGUCUGAUGGAGCGACGCCGCGUGGAGGAUGAAGGUUUUCGGAUUGUAAACUCCUGUCACUGCAGAACAAGGAUACGUCAGUUAACAGCCGACGUAUUUGAUGGUAUGCGGAGAGGAAGGGACGGCUAACUCUGUGCCAGCAGCCGCGGUAAGACAGAAGUCCCGAGCGUUGUUCGGAUUCAUUGGGCGUAAAGGGUGUGUA
rnacentral:rRNA from 1 species